ensembl:lincRNA Gm12498 predicted gene 12498
CCUUUUGGCCUCAGUUACUCCCCGGCUUUGUAGAAAUCUCCCCAGAUGCUUUAUUCAUUCUUCCGACAUCUACUGGGUAAAGCUCUCGACCUAUGGGGAGCAGUUUCAGUGCCUUGCCUUCUCAGCCUAUCCAUUGUGGAAUAUAAUCAGAACCAGAACCCAGAGUAUCUGGAGACUCUCUCUGGGUCAUGAAAGAUGUUACAGAUUCUGGGGAGUGGCCAGUGAUUCCCAGGCACAAGGUGGAAGGAAGGGAGAUGCUCCUGCUGCCAUGAUGGACUGGAAAUCUCUCUGACUUCCCAGGCUGUGGUUGGGGCUGGGUCUGAAUCUUCUGUCCCAGGCUGGACCUAAAGUUGCUGUGAGGCUGAAGAUGAGCUUGAUGGUUCUUCUGUUCCAGCCCCAGCCUCCUGCGUGUUAAGGUUACAGACCUGAGUGCAAAGACGGUGGCAGCAGGGCUAAGGACCUGGCACUCCCUUCCCAGGCUGGUGGCAGGCGCCACAGUUCCUACAGGAUGACUGAUGCUGUGGGAGUUCUUCCACUUUGCCAGCACUGCCAUGGCUCUUGGAUCCACCACUCCAUUCAAACUGCUCACGCUGCUCAUAGCUCAUAUUGACUCUUGUUACUAAUUUUACAGAUGGGGAUGCCUCUGGGUACUUAGGCCCACACUCUAUCUUAAGGCUGUAUAUUCGGUUUUCAUAGAUUGUUCGUGGAGGCCCAAUUAUCAUACCAUCGCCUACUCCUUUCUGUCCUUCUUCCAACUCUUCCAACAGUCGGAAAUUUUGAGGGACUUUUACUCCCAAGCCUGUGGUGGCUGCCAUCUUGCGCCACUGUUGCUCGAAGGCCAGCCCCUUUUCCUCCAGCACAUUUAGAUUUUUUUCCUGUACAGUGUCCUUUUAAGACACUAGGGCUGGCUGCACUGUGAACUUGUGACAGUGCACAGAGACAACCAGAGGAUCAGUGACCAACGCUGGAAUUAAAUUCUCCAAGACAGCACUGGCUGUGACUCCUAGCUUCAGAUCUCUCCAUGUCUCCAGACCCCAGGGUUCCCUGCUGCCUUUCAGGGACCUUUCUCAUUCAAAGGGACAAUGAUCUCGGAGUCUGGGGACCCUGCAUUGAGGACUUGCUGUCCUAGCCCUUAUCCCUGUCUGCAGAGCAAUUCUGUCCUCUGAAGGGCUCCAGGGCUCUGGCUCCCUUCCCAGGCCCUCUGAGUCCUUGACCUGGACAAUAUGGCUUCCUUCUGCUUUCUUCCACUCCUCCUUUUCUACUUCCCACAGUGCGUGACAAUCUGCUGAUGUGCCUCAUUCAUACUUGCAAAAUAUGUCCCUGUAGUUCCCACCAAACUGCUGCUAAAGCCCCAGUGAUGUGGUCACUUUUCGUGCAUCCUCACCGAGACCUGCAGAACAUGUGGUUUCUCUAAUGUCUCAGGAUGAGAUGGCCUCUGCUUGUCCCCUGCAACCUCACUGCACAGCUCCUAUGUGGGUGACAUGAUAUGUUGCCUCCAAACCCCGUAGUCCCAGUAAAGGAUGAUUUAAUCCCAAAAUGUACGUCCUGCAGAGCAACAGCCUUGGCCUUUGACUUGUAAACUCAUUUUAGUCUCCCCUUCCGUCAAGCCUCUUGGUUGUCUGCAAAAAAGAAAGUAAACAGGUGGGACAGUGUUCUUGGGAGGACAUUGACCUUGUGAAGGUAAUACUACAGGGCAUAUACUACUUGUGAAGGAUAUACUACUAUAUAUCUCAGGGUAACCUGAAAGGUCAUUUGAGCCACCCUGUCAUAUACAAACGCAUGUCCGGAGCCUGGGCCAGGUCCUGCAUUUAGGGACAGCUGAGGGUCUUGCUUUGGGCUCCCAUGUGUACAGCAUCCUGGUAUCCCUUGAAAGCAAACUUCUUGGGUCACAUGCUCUCCCUCUCUAUGGCACAACCCAGCGUGGGCUCUUUUUCUCCCUUGUGCUCUGCUGGGUUUUGUCAGCUGACUGUUGUCCACAGCUGUGGCUUCCCUCAAACUUCCGGUCCCUUUGUGGUUGGUACUUGAAUUUAGAUUCAUAAACACGGCCAAAAUACAGAUUAGUUUUUAAAUAACUGAUAACAGAAGGACUGGCUUUUCAAACCCCCUAAAGGAAAAUACGGAGCCCUGUUUAUCUCUGCUCUGGGGUUGUUUCCAUGUCACCGACUGUUCCUGUAACUUGAGGCUGUGUGCACAAAAAUCCGGUACCUGUCAGACUGGCAGAGUUCUUUCUAUGAUGAUAGGUGCUACAUUAAACUCUCAGGUCGGGG